UUAAGUUCAGCGGGUAUUCCUACCUGAUCCGAGGUCAACCUUUGGAAAAUUGGGGGUUUUACGGCAAGAGUCCCUCCGGAUCCCAGUGCGAGACGUAAAGUUACUACGCAAAGGAGGCUCCGGGAGGGUCCGCCACUACCUUUGAGGGCCUACAUCAGCUGUAGGGCCCCAACACCAAGCAGAGCUUGAGGGUUGAAAUGACGCUCGAACAGGCAUGCCCGCCAGAAUGCUGGCGGGCGCAAUGUGCGUUCAAAGAUUCGAUGAUUCACUGAAUUCUGCAAUUCACAUUACUUAUCGCAUUUCGCUGCGUUCUUCAUCGAUGCCAGAACCAAGAGAUCCGUUGUUAAAAGUUUUGAUUAUUUGCUUGUACCACUCAGAAGAAACGUCGUUAAAUCAGAGUUUGGUUAUCCUCCGGCGGGCGCCGACCCGCCCGGGGGCGGGGGGCCGGGAGGGUCACGGAGACCCUACCCGCCGAAGCAACAGUUAUAGGUAUGUUCACAAAGGGUUGUAGAGCGUAAACUCAGUAAUGAUCCCU
rnacentral:misc_RNA from 1 species